ncrna:unclassified sequences L31-Firmicutes ribosomal protein leader
CUUUGAAGUAGUGAAUAUUUCAAGGCGGAAGGAG